AGGGGCGUAGGUUAAUGGUAGACCAGCGGUCUCCAAAACCGCCUGUGGGGGUUCGACUCCCUCCGCCCCUGCCA
rnacentral:tRNA from 1 species